CCCUUAGAUGUCCUGGGCUGCACGCGCGCUACACUGAUGUGUCCAGUAAGCACCUAACCUAUUCCGAGAGGAGCGGGUAACCUUAGCAAAGCACAUCGUGAUGGGGAUAGAUUAUUGCAAUUAUUAGUCUUGAACGAGGAAUUCCUAGUAAGCACAAGUCAUCAGCUUGUGUUGAUUACGUCCCUGCCCUUUGUACACACCGCCCGUCGCUCCUACCGAUUGAAUGUUCCGGUGAGCUCUUCGGACUGUGCGGUCUGCAGUUUCUGCGUUCCGUGCGGAAAGUUGUGCAAACCUUAACAUUUAGAGGAAGGAGAAGUCGUAACA
rnacentral:rRNA from 1 species